ACGUAGGUGGCAAGCGUUGUCCGGAAUUACUGGGUGUAAAGGGAGCGCAGGCGGGAAGCCAAGUCAGCUGUGAAAACUACGGGCUUAACUUGUAGACUGCAGUUGAAACUGGUUUUCUUGAGUGAAGUAGAGGUAGGCGGAAUUCCGAGUGUAGCGGUGAAAUGCGUAGAUAUUCGGAGGAACACCGGUGGCGAAGGCGGCCUACUGGGCUUUAACUGACGCUGAGGCUCGAAAGUGUGGGGAGCAAACAGGAUUAGAUACCCUGGUAGUCCACACUGUAAACGAUGAUUGCUAGGUGUGGGGGGUCUGACCCCUUCCGUGCCGGAGCUAACGCAAUAAGCAAUCCACCUGGGGAGUACGACCGCAAGGUUGAAACUCAAAGGAAUUGACGGGGACCCGCACAAGCAGUGGAUUAUGUGGUUUAAUUCGAAGCAACGCGAAGAACCUUACCAACUCUUGACAUCCAACUAACGAGAUAGAGAUAUGUUAGGUGCCCUUCGGGGAAAGUUGAGACAGGUGGUGCAUGGUUGUCGUCAGCUCGUGUCGUGAGAUGUUGGGUUAAGUCCCGCAACGAGCGCAACCCCUGCCAUUAGUUGCUACGCAAGAGCACUCUAAUGGGACCGCUACCGACAAGGUGGAGGAAGGUGGGGACGACGUCAAAUCAUCAUGCCCCUUAUGAGUUGGGCUACACACGUAAUACAAUGGCCAUUAACAAAGAGAAGCAAAACCGCGAGGUGGAGCAAAACUCCAAAAAUGGUCCCAGUUCGGACUGCAGGCUGCAACCCGCCUGCACGAAGUUGGAAUUGCUAGUAAUCGUGGAUCAGCAUGCCACGGUGAAUACGUUCCCGGGUCUUGUACACACCGCCCGUCACACCAUGGGAGCCGGUAACACCCGAAGUCAGUAGUCUAACCUUUAUGGAGGACGCUGCCGAAGGUGGGAUUGGCGACUGGGGUGAAGUCGUAACAAGGUAGCCGUAUCGGAAGGUGCGGCU
rnacentral:rRNA from 1 species